rnacentral:rRNA from 1 species
CACGUAGGCGGAUUGUUAAGUCGGGGGUGAAAUCCCGGGGCUCAACCCCGGAACUGCCUUCGAUACUGGCAAUCUAGAGUCCGGAAGAGGUGAGUGGAAUUCCGAGUGUAGAGGUGAAAUUCGUAGAUAUUCGGAGGAACACCAGUGGCGAAGGCGGCUCACUGGUCCGGUACUGACGCUGAGGCACGAAAGCGUGGGGAGCAAACA